rnacentral:rRNA from 1 species
UACAGAGGUCUCAAGCGUUGUUCGGAUUCAUUGGGCGUAAAGGGUGCGUAGGCGGCGCGGUAAGUCGGGUGUGAAAUUCGAGGCUUAACUCCGAAACUGCAUUCGAUACUGCCGUGCUUGAGGACUGGAGAGGAGACUGGAAUUUACGGUGUAGCAGUGAAAUGCGUAGAGAUCGUAAGGAAGACCAGUGGCGAAGGCGGGUCUCUGGACAGUUCACUGACAGUGAGGCACGAAGGCCAGGGGAGCAAACGG